rnacentral:rRNA from 1 species
AUUGAACGCUGGCGGCAGGCCUAACACAUGCAAGUCGAGCGGAUGAAGGGAGCUUGCUCCUGGAUUCAGCGGCGGACGGGUGAGUAAUGCCUACGUAUCUGCCUGGUCGUGGGGGCUAACGUCCGGAAACGGGCGCUAAUACCGCAUACGUCCUGAGGGAGAACGUGGUGGAUCUUCGGACCUCACGCUAUCAGCUGAGCCUAGGCCGCAUUAGCUAGCUGGUAUGGUAAAGGCUUACCAAGGCGACGAUCCAUAACUGAUCUGAGAGGGUGAUCAGCCACACUGGAACUGAGACACGGUCCAGACUCCUACGGGAGGCAGCAGUAGGGAAUCUUCCGAAAUGGGCGAAAGCCUGACGGAGCAACGCCGCGUGAGUGAUGAAGGUCUUCGGAUCGUAAAACUCUGUUAUUAGGGAAGAAAAUAUGUGUAAGUAACUGUGCACAUCUUGACGGUACCUAAUCAGAAAGCCACGGCUAACUACGUG